CACAGUGCUCUGCACCAAGACAGAAGAAGUCCAUGGUUCAGCGCCCAGAUGGUGGGUUUGGUAUUAAGAACCUGUGAGACCUUUUUUUGGCCAAUCAUGUAUCAAUCAGCAUGAACAGAAUUCGAGCCGGGCAUUUAUGAUUGUCUGGACAGGAUGCAAGUGGGUGGACUUGCAAAUAUGGUGGCUUGUUCUCCCUAGCCACACUCCCAACAUCUGUUACCACAGAGGUCCUGUCCUUGUUGUUCCAAAAGGAAGAUCCUCAGACCCUAUACCUCUGAGCAACUCUGAGUCCACAGAUGGAAUACAGUGCACAUAUUGGUCGCAGCUAAAUCUACAACUCUGUGGGCUGUUUGUUUAUGUCUGGAUGGUCAGCUGUAUACAUGGCCUGUGCAAAUAUGAAAGAAAGUGUUGUGUGCCUAAUAAAAAUAUCCUGAUUUCUCUUU